UUUCCAAUUUAAUGACUUUGAAUAUAAUUCUUGAAGACGAUUCUGCUUCAUAAACCUUGCUUUGAUAAGUCUGGCCUUGUCUUUUAUCUGUGUUGGUCCAAAAGUUUUUAACGGACCAUUUUCAAGUUUCUGUAUGUGAAUGAUUUUAGACCAACAACAGCCAUGCUGAGAAAUCAUUUCGUAAAGCUCAUUCUCCUCUUCAUCUGUCCAUUUUCUACGAGUUCGAUAUCCUUCAUAUGGGUUUCCUUGCGACCUGCGUGUACCCGAACGAGCAGCAGAUCUUUCAAUGGACACUCUCAUUGCCGAACUUCUACCACCAGAUCGAGAUUCUUGCUCGUCUGAUUCACGUACAGGCGGAAAAUCUUCACUUAAAUCAUCCUGUUCACUACUCAAAGAAGCUUCUCUUCUCAGAUUAUCACCCCUCUUCGCAAUCAGCUUACUGCGGUUUGCAGCUUCCUUUUGAGAAAGGGACUUAGCUCUGCUUUUUAGAGACUUUGAUAGGGUAUGGGAGAAAUCUCUGGCUUGAGAAACCGUUUCUGAUAAAUUAUCAGCACUCAAUAAGCCAGUGAUUUUAUCAAGAGCAGAUGAAACUAAACCUAAGGAUACCACUUCUGAUAUUUCCGUAUUAUCUAUUGAGUUCAAACCUAGGGUUCUUUCAGAAAAAGUAUCCUCGGACGCGUCACUCUCAUGACCACUGGCUUCGUCUGCUGACUGUGCGGUCGAACCAGAAACUCGCUCACGAAGCCUGUUUAAGAUCUGUUGGCUAUCAGAGUCGUACAGCAUCCCUUUCACGCUAAGGUCCUUUCUUUCUAAGCGACGGACGUUUUUAAAUUCUAGUAAAAAAUGUAUGACUGCAUUGACAAACGCUGGAAACGAGGCCCGUAGCUGUAGAGGAGAAUUAGAAGUAUUACCAAUCGUAGAUUUUAGAAAGUCACAAAUCUUUUGGCUUUUCCAUACUUGCCCACAAACUACGUUUAAGGCAUCUAAAGAUGUAUAAGGAAGACAUGACAAAAUAAAUUCACUUGCGUCAAUAGAAGGAUUUGAAUCGGUACCAAAGUAUCUAAUCACCAAUUCCUCAAAUAGAACCAAGGCA